GACCUCGGUGGCGAAGUGGUAUCGUGCUCGCCUCUGAACCGAGAGGUCCCGGGUUCGAUCCCCGGUCGGGUCA